AGUCUUGAUGACCGGAAGGGAUUCCUUCGGUCAUCGAGACUGUGGAGUCUUGAUGACCGGAAGGGAUUCCUUCCGGUCAUCGAGACU
rnacentral:miRNA from 1 species